rnacentral:rRNA from 1 species
GAUGAACGCUGGCGGCGUGCCUAAUACAUGCAAGUCGAGCGAACGGACGAGAAGCUUGCUUCUCUGAUGUUAGCGGCGGACGGGUGAGUAACACGUGGAUAACCUACCUAUAAGACUGGGAUAACUUCGGGAAACCGGAGCUAAUACCGGAUAAUAUUUUGAACCGCAUGGUUCAAAAGUGAAAGACGGUCUUGCUGUCACUUAUAGAUGGAUCCGCGCUGCAUUAGCUAGUUGGUAAGGUAACGGCUUACCAAGGCAACGAUGCAUAGCCGACCUGAGAGGGUGAUCGGCCACACUGGAACUGAGACGCGGUCCAGACUCCUACGGGAGGCAGCAGUAGGGAAUCUUCCGCAAUGGGCGAAAGCCUGACGGAGCAACGCCGCGUGAGUGAUGAAGGUCUUCGGAUCGUAAAACUCUGUUAUUAGGGAAGAACAUAUGUGUAAGUAACUGUGCACAUCUUGACGGUACCUAAUCAGAAAGCCACGGCUAACUACGUGCCAGCAGCCGCGGUAAUACGUAGGUGGCAAGCGUUAUCCGGAAUUAUUGGGCGUAAAGCGCGCGUAGGCGGUUUUUUAAGUCUGAUGUGAAAGCCCACGGCUCAACCGUGGAGGGUCAUUGGAAACUGGAAAACUUGAGUGCAGAAGAGGAAAGUGGAAUUCCAUGUGUAGCGGUGAAAUGCGCAGAGAUAUGGAGGAACACCAGUGGCGAAGGCGACUUUCUGGUCUGUAACUGACGCUGAUGUGCGAAAGCGUGGGGAUCAAACAGGAUUAGAUACCCUGGUAGUCCACGCCGUAAACGAUGAGUGCUAAGUGUUAGGGGGUUUCCGCCCCUUAGUGCUGCAGCUAACGCAUUAAGCACUCCGCCUGGGGAGUACGACCGCAAGGUUGAAACUCAAAGGAAUUGACGGGGACCCGCACAAGCGGUGGAGCAUGUGGUUUAAUUCGAAGCAACGCGAAGAACCUUACCAAAUCUUGACAUCCUUUGACAACUCUAGAGAUAGAGCCUUCCCCUUCGGGGGACAAAGUGACAGGUGGUGCAUGGUUGUCGUCAGCUCGUGUCGUGAGAUGUUGGGUUAAGUCCCGCAACGAGCGCAACCCUUAAGCUUAGUUGCCAUCAUUAAGUUGGGCACUCUAAGUUGACUGCCGGUGACAAACCGGAGGAAGGUGGGGAUGACGUCGAAUCAUCAUGCCCCUUAUGAUUUGGGCUACACACGUGCUACAAUGGACAAUACAAAGGGCAGCGAAACCGCGAGGUCAAGCAAAUCCCAUAAAGUUGUUCUCAGUUCGGAUUGUAGUCUGCAACUCGACUACAUGAAGCUGGAAUCGCUAGUAAUCGUAGAUCAGCAUGCUACGGUGAAUACGUUCCCGGGUCU